rnacentral:lncRNA from 1 species
GGUGUUAUUGGAAUCCGAUGGAGGCGUAUGAAUAGUCAAAACGAAGCUCUCGACGCGUAGAAUAUAGUAUAAUCAACUAUAACGCUGCAGAUUCAUCAGGUGAUUUUACAUGAUUUUUACAAAAUUCGAAUUAAAUGAUUUUAAAUUAUGAAUUUUUGCAAACGAUUCCGUUUAUGUGAUUUGAUGAUUCUAUGAUGUAGAGCAUGUUUUUCUCGUCGUUUUGGUAUAUUAUAUGUUGAAUUUUGACUUUGGUAACAUAGAGAAAAGUUAGUUUGAUUAUUGACUUGAAUGUUCUUGAUUGUUCUUGAGCUUUCGCCGGAAAGUUAUGAUUUUUGGCCGGAGAAUCUGUUUUAAGAAGUCUGGGUAGAAACUAAGCUCACCAUCAGGUAGAUCGUGUCAUGGGAAAUCGUUUGUUGUAUAAAACAGGGGUGGAGAAGGCUAGAAACAAGCUCGCCAAAAUUUUAAAAUCCGACGAUGUUCUUCGUUUUGAUUCAAAUUUCCUGCUAAACUGUUGAUCUUUUGUUGUUUUAAAUCCCACAAAUGUGUUCCUGGCAUCAUAAGGUACUGAUCUGCAUUGUUUGGAAAGUUUCCGGGUGGUUUUUGGCCACCGACGGUGGCCGACGGCGAGUGGAGGGGGCGGCGCUGCAAUUUUGCAGUUUAGCCCCCAAUCUUUUCAAGGUGGUGAAGUUGUUGUACCUAAGUUUUGAAUCUUACAAAACACCCCCUGUAACUUUUGAAAGUUACAGUUUAAACCCUGGACGAAAACUUUCAAAAGUUUACAAAAUAAACCUUUUGAUUUAAUUUUCUAAAAUUGUUUUAUUUAAUUAUUUUAAAUUCCAAAAAUAGUUUUUAAUUAUUUCUUUAUUCAAAAAUAAAUCUAAAUUAGUUUAUUAAUUAAUUUUAAUUAGUAAUUAAUUAUUUUAAUUGGUCAAUUAAUUUAAAUAUUAAUUGAUUAAUUAUUUUAAUUAAUUAUUAAUUGAUUUUAAUUGAUUAAUUAAUUGGAUUUAAUUAAUCCUUUUUGAUUUAAAAAUUCCGAAAAAUAGUUUCGAGCUUUAAAAUAUUUUUCCAAAUUAUUUUCAAGGCUCGAUAAUUGUUUAUGAAUGAUUUCAAGUCCAAUUUCAAGUAUUUGGGACUUGAUUAUUUAUCCGAAAAGUGAUUCUUUUAUCGAUUUUAAUUCCGAAAAAUGUUUAAAAAUUCCAGAAAAUUCCCGAAAAAUCAUUUUUAACCCAAGAGUUGAUUUGAUAUCAAUUGGGGUGGGAAACCUUAUGUGUAAUGUGUUGUCUGCUAUCUGUUUGAUGUGUUAUGUGCCGAUAGAGGAGUUAGAAAACGGUUUUGAUCAUAACUUUUGAUCCGUAAGUCGGAAUCAAGUGAAACGAAAGAGAGACAGAAGCUUAUAAAGUCUAGUUUGAUAUGACAUAAUAUUAUGAUGGAGUCGAGAAUCUGAAUAAUUUUUGUUAAAUGUGCAAAAUGUGAUUAUAUGUUAUUUGGUUGCUAUUAACUAAUGACUACGUGAUAUACAUGUUUAUUCAUGAUAGUAUAUGCGUGUGAUAAAUGAUUUGGAUGACAUAGUGUCGUGAGUUGAUUGAUAUUGGAUAAGAAUAUAUGGAUUAUAGUGAUUGGAUCUUGUUGGUUGAUUGUUGAUUGAGAUAGGAUAACAGGUGGAUAGUCUAAUAAAUAGACGAGACGAUGUCGGAUUUUCGAUAGGAUUCAUAUGAUAAGUGAUUGGUAAUAUGUUAUGUGGAAUAUGACUUGACUAUAUGGUAGAGUCAAAGCAUGAUUACGUGUUAAGUGAUAUGUGAUAAGUUUAAAGGGGUAUAUAAGUGGGUAUCGAUAUACGUGAUAUGUAUAUGCGAUAUAUUGUUUAGUGACUAUAGUAUUAUCUUAUUCUCGUAAAGGAUUUGGACGAGACGUGUACGCUCGAAGACGUCAGAAAGUCGGAAUGGUAUUGCAAAGCGAAUAAGGGAUGAAUCGAGUAAGCGAAGCGAUGUGGCGAAUAGAGUAUAGCUAGAGAUGGUCUAGAGAUUAUGAGAUGCAUAGAUUGUGAAAGUGGAAAGAUGAGAAUGAGCUGUGAGACGGGAGUCAGAUUUAAGGCAAGUAUCCUAUACCCUUCUUUUGGAUAUCUUGCGAUUAUUCUGAUCCAUUCUUUUCGUAUGUGUUGCAAAUAUUCGUUCCUCUCUUUUUCAUAUUUGGCAAGUGCAAAUAUUUUUAUCCAUCCUUUUCUAAUCCUCAAAAAUUCAGAUAAUUCCAGUUUUACAAAUUAAUUCGAAGUUCAGAUUGUCAUUGAAGCAUGUGUUGCUCAGUGAUGAUUAGAACCUAGAAUGACUUGGGAUCUUCUUGAUUAUUCAACCCGCCAUUGUCAUGCUGGUUUAGCAGGCUAAAUUCAGUUGCUUAGCCGAUAAUGGAGGAUACUGAAUAGUUAAGGAUUUCCUGGAUUAUGAUUUAUGGAAGGAUGGACUCUGGUUUAUGAAAAGUUGAUUAUCAAAUGUUUGAUUGGGAAUUAUUUUAUCAUGGAUAUUGAUUGUGGUUAUGUUCUGUUGCUAUACGUUGACCUGUUAUUGAAUUAUAGAAUUGGAUUAUUGUUUUUAUAUAAACCUGUGGACCAGAUUCGUGGUCAUGUUAGGCCAAUGAGUGCCUUGGAUCCAGUGAUAGAGCAUGGCGGGGCCUGCUCGGGGUUAGUGCGGAACUGAUCAGCUGCCUAACCUUGGUUUUAAUUAAAAUGUGAUAGUCCAAUUCAAUAAUUCUUUGGAAAGAUUGAAUUCCUCAGUUUAAAUGAUGCAAGGUAUUGUAAAUCAUUCUAUGCAAUACCAUGAACUCAUGAACUCAGGUUGAACCCUCUUAUAUCUUGAACUCGUGAACUUCUGUUAUAUCAUUUCAGAAUUAUCAUUGUUUAUUAUUACUUGCUGAGCAUUGUUGCUCACCCUUGCUAUUCCUUUCUAACCAUUUCAGAAAGGCUAAAAGAUGAGAUGAUUGAUUGAGAUUGUGGAUAAGGCUAAUGCUAGGCGAGGAGACAGAAUUGAGGAUCCAGUGGUCGAGGAGUGUUCAGGAAAGUUGAUGAGGGUGGUGCAAGCUAGAGCUGUGCUAUAGGGAUUCAAGUGAAAGUCAUAGCUGGAAUAGUUAACAGUGAUUCUUCUUAUCGAAGAUGAUCUGACUUGGUAAGAAAAGUUGUGUAAUAUUAGUGGUGGAUUCUAAUUUCAAUACUGUAACCUGGAAGCGAUCCUGUUGUUUUUGGGGGUUAAAUGUUCUCUUAAAAUUUUCUUAUUAUGGUUUUCAAGUUUGAAAUUCAGGUUUUAAAAUCAUU